UACGUAGGUGGCUAGCGUUAUCCGGAUUUAUUGGGCGUAAAGAGAGAGUAGGUGGUUCGAUAAGUCAGGUGUAAAAUCUCCCGGCUUAACUGGGAGGGAUCACCUGAUACUAUUGGACUGGAGUGCAGCAGAGGGAGUUGGAAUUCCCGGUGUAGUGGUGAAAUGCGUAGAUAUCGGGAGGAACACCAGUGGCGAAGGCGAGCUCCUGGGCUGCUACUGACACUGAGGCUCGAAAGCGUGGGGAG
rnacentral:rRNA from 1 species